AUUGAACGCUGGCGGCAUGUCUUACACAUGCAAGUCGAACGGUAACAGGUCUUCGGAUGCUGACGAGUGGCGAACGGGUGAGUAAUACAUCGGAACGUGCCUAGUAGUGGGGGAUAACUACUCGAAAGAGUGGCUAAUACCGCAUGAGAUCUACGGAUGAAAGCAGGGGAUCGCAAGACCUUGUGCUACUAGAGCGGCCGAUGGCAGAUUAGGUAGUUGGUGGGAUAAAAGCUUACCAAGCCGACGAUCUGUAGCUGGUCUGAGAGGGCGAUCAGCCACACUGGGACUGAGACACGGCCCAGACUCCUACGGGAGGCAGCAGUGGGGAAUUUUGGACAAUGGGCGCAAGCCUGAUCCAGCAAUGCCGCGUGCAGGAUGAAGGCCUUCGGGUUGUAAACUGCUUUUAUACGGAACGAAAAGCCCUGGGUUAAUACCCUGGGGUCAUGACGGUACCGUAAGAAUAAGCACCGGCUAACUACGUGCCAGCCGCCGCAGUAACAC
rnacentral:rRNA from 1 species